rnacentral:rRNA from 1 species
AGGGCCAUCGCUCAACGGAUAAAAGCUACCCUGGGGAUAACAGGCUUAUCUCCCCCAAGAGGCCACAUCGACGGGGAGGUUUGGCACCUCGAUGUCGGCUCAUCACAUCCUGGGGCUGUAGUAGGUCCCAAGGGUUGGGCUGUUCGCCCAUUAAAGUGGUACGCGAGCUGGGUUCAGAACGUCGUGAGACAGUUCGGUCCCUAUCCGUCGCAGGCGUAGGAAAUUUGAGAAGACCUGUCCUUAGUACGAGAGGACCGGGAUGGACGUACCUCUGGUGUACCAGUUGUUCUGCCAAGGGCAUGGCUGGGUAGCUAUGUACGGAAUGGAUAAGCGCUGAAAGCAUCUAAGCGCGAAGCCAACUUCAAGAUAAGAUUUCCCACCGCAAGGGUAAGACCCCAGAAAGACUAUCUGGUUGAUAGGUCGAAGGGGUAAGUGCAGCAAUGUAUUUAGCUUAUCGAUACUAAUAGGUCGAGGACUUGACCAAU